AGCAAUAACUGUUAGCCUAUUCUUUGUAGCUGUGCUGAUUUGAUUGAGAUGUAUUGGAAGCUAUACUCAGCCAUGAAAUUCUGCUGCAGGAUGAAUGUCAAUACAUACAGGAGUAGGAAUAAUCUCUCAGCGUCCUGUUUUUGCGCGUUUCAUUCCACUUGUAUUGAAAGGAGAGACACUACCGCUUGGACCAGGAGACUCUUCUCUAUAACUUGAAUUAAGCAACGCCAGUUCCCGCAACUGCUGCCUCUUGAUGAAAUCUUGUGAUUCAUCCACAGGUUUGAGCAGUUCUUCUAUAAUUUCUUGCGCCUGUCUCAGCCUCAUAUCAACAAUAUUGGCAGGCAAAUCAGCUUCAAUUAAGAUGUGAAGAGGAUCAUUCAGGUGCUCAUAUCCAGGUCUUCCCCUUAACUUCUCUUCCUUGUCUGGGUCCUUUAUUGAUCCUUUCCCUCUAAUAUAUACACGGCAGCCCGUCGUAACUUCCACCCGUUUCAGUGAAUUGCCUCUAGGGCCCAAAAGUCGCCCAACAAAAUUGAAAUUUGGAUAAGUAUCUACUGGAAUUUCCAGGCGCAAAAUUCUUUUCACAGUGUAUGAACUAGGGCUUGCAGGUGCACCUUGCCAGUCCAUUGUCAUUCCAGGGAGCCCACUCAAUCUCUCGUGUGGAAGACCAUUCCAGCUGCCUAAACCUGUUCCAGCAACACUUGACAUGAGGUUUGAUGAAGCCAUGGGACUGGGGCUUCUAUGCCGCAGUCUGUCAAAAUCGCCAAAUCCUUGGUUGGACAUCAUUCCCGAAACCCGAAAAAUUUCUUGAUUUAACAGUCGGCUACAUAUCGGGAGAA
rnacentral:misc_RNA from 1 species